rnacentral:rRNA from 1 species
CUUUCUUUGCUGGCGACCGGCGCACGGGUGAGUAACACGUAUCCAACCUGCCCUUUACUCGGGGAUAGCCUUUCGAAAGAAAGAUUAAUACCCGAUAGCAUAAUGAUUCCGCAUGGUUUCAUUAUUAAAGGAUUCCGGUAAAGGAUGGGGAUGCGUUCCAUUAGGUUGUUGGUGAGGUAACGGCCCACCAAGCCUUCGAUGGAUAGGGGUCCUGAGAGGAAGGUCCCCCACAUUGGAACUGAGACACGGUCCAA